rnacentral:rRNA from 1 species
GAUGAACGCUGGCGGCGUGCCUAAUACAUGCCAGUCGAGCGAACAGAUGAGGAGCUUGCUCCUCUGACGUUAGCGGCGGACGGGUGAGUAACACGUGGAUAACCUACCUAUAAGACUGGGAUAACUUCGGGAAACCGGAGCUAAUACCGGAUAAUAUAUUGAACCGCAUGGUUCAAUAGUGAAAGACGGUUUUGCUGUCACUUAUAGAUGGAUCCGCGCCGCAUUAGCUAGUUGGUAAGGUAACGGCUUACCAAGGCAACGAUGCGUAGCCGACCUGAGAGGGUGAUCGGCCACAAUGGAACUGAGACACGGUCCAGACUCCUAAGGGAGGCAGCAGUAGGGAAUCUUCCGCAAUGGGCGAAAGCCUGACGGAGCAACGCCGCGUGAGUGAUGAAGGUCUUCGGAUCGUAAAACUCUGUUAUUAGGGAAGAACAAAUGUGUAAGUAACUAUGCACGUCUUGACGGUACCUAAUCAGAAAGCCACGGCUAACUACGUG